CCCCCCCCCCCCACCAAGCUGCCCACCAGAGGCCAAGCUGUACUUGGUGUUUGCCAACAUGCUGUAAUUUCCAGCCUGGUUGCUGUAGCCACAGAGGAAUUUUCAAGGACAAGAACCAGUGCUGGUAAAACUGUGGUCUCUGUGGUUUUCCAUACCGGCUCUCGGCAAGGAUUUUCAAGAAAGGAAUACCAUCUCCAAAUCAUGAUGUGCCAAUAAGCUCCAGUUAGCUGCGGCCUUUUCCCCAGGCGGUAGUCCUGCAAUCUGAAUCCAGGAGAUGCAGCUCUGAAUCCAAUAUUUCAGAAGAAUGAAGAUGAAGCAGACCCAGGAGGAACUGUCUGUUGAAGACCCCCCCCCCCCCCCCACCAAGCUGCCCACCAGAGGCCAAGCUGUACUUGGUGUUUGCCAACAUGCUGUAAUUUCCAGCCUGGUUGCUGUAGCCACAGAGGAAUUUUCAAGGACAAGAACCAGUGCUGGUAAAACUGUGGUCUCUGUGGUUUUCCAUACCGGCUCUCGGCAAGGAUUUUCAAGAAAGGAAUACCAUCUCCAAAUCAUGAUGUGCCAAUAAGCUCCAGUUAGCUGCGGCCUUUUCCCCAGGCGGUAGUCCUGCAAUCUGAAUCCAGGAGAUGCAGCUCUGAAUCCAAUAUUUCAGAAGAAUGAAGAUGAAGCAGACCCAGGAGGAACUGUCUGUUGAAGACCCCCCCCCCCCCCACC